AUAUAAUAAUAAGAUACUAUUAAUCUGUGUUUUGUUUUUAGAGAUCUGUGUAAAUUUAUGAUUAACAACCGAAAUUACAAUACUUGAACAAAUGUUAAUUUUUGACAAAAUUACGCUGCAUCUUCCAUAUAAUGGUUCAACUAAAUCUAGUUUUGACCUGGGCUUCUGUGAAUGGAUUGUGGAUGGUAUUAAAACUAGUUUAUCUUUUAAAAUAAAAUCCUUUAAAAGGACAUAUACAGUAGGUGUAACGUGAUUUGGAAUGAAUACACACUUGCAGGAUUUUUCACAUAAAUCUCAUCUGGUACCUCCAUGGAUGCCUGUUAGAAAAACUGAAGAACUGAAAGAAGAAACUUUUAAACUGAUGUUGGGAACUGUAGAAGUUACUGUUAUACAUAGUAUCAUAUCAAGGCUCCAGUUCUCUAUGCUUGUUAGUUAUAUGCAAGAUAUGGCAUAGUAUAGCACACUGCAUGUGUAAAAAUGGAUGAAAGCACUAAAGAAGCAAAACAAUACAAAUUAAAGAAGAAUUUUGUCAUGCGAUCACGGUUGCAAUAUGAGAACUACCGUAACAGAAUAUAUUUAUUGUCGAACAGUUUUGA
rnacentral:lncRNA from 1 species